rnacentral:tRNA from 1 species
GGCGGGGUGCCGGAGCGGCCGAACGGGUCGGUCUUGAAAACCGAAGGGCCUUCACGGGCCCCCUGGGUUCGAAUCCCAGCCCCGCCGCCA